CAAACAAGAGCCAGGUAGCUGCCACCUUCACUUCUUACCCUCUCUUCAAUAAUUCUCUCGUUUGGGGUACCAGAAAAGUUCCACCUUUACACAUCAUAAAAAAGGAUAAAUAUUCAUUUCCUUUCCUUUCUUCCCCAUUCUUCCCUUCUCUAUUAACCCGUUUCUUCUUUUUCUUCCAGUAGCCACUUGUUUGAGCUUUGUGGAAUAGGCCCAAAAUCUGUGGUUUUCUCUCUUUCCUUUUGUUUUUCCUGGCUUAACUUAGUAGGCCUUGGUUAUUGGAGAAAUUUCCUUAAGUUUCAGACUUAUCUUGGAAUGAUGAAGUUUGAUGAUAUGAGUAUUUGUGGAGAUAUGGAUUUCUUAUGUGCUCCCCCUGGGGGGAAAGAUGUGGCGGUCCCGCAGAUGGAAGUAGAGGCUGCAGUAGAGGAUGAUUUUUCUGAUGAAGAGGUUGAUGUCGAUGAACUUGAGAAGAGGUUGUGGAGGGACAAAAUGCGGCUCAAACGGCUCAAGGAACAGCAGAAGGGCAAGGAGGUGAUCGAUGUCGCCAAACAGCGUCAGUCCCAAGAACAAGCUAUAAAGGUUAAGCUGGAUUUCUAACACUUUUUAUCAUUCACAUGUGGUAAUAAUGAUAAUUUUGAUGUUGAGAUACAUAUAAAGACUUUGAAGAGUUUCUCGAGGAAUGUUUAAAAUUAAAAGUAAAUGACUGCAUCAUUUAAAUCCCUUGGAGAAGAUGAAGCUCGAUUUUAUAUUUGCGAUUCUACUCUAUAGAUAAGCUGAGGCAUAUUCCCUUGUUUGUGGCCUUCUGCCAUUCUCACUCUUAGUUGUUAAUGACAGCUUUGCAGAAAGAUACUGUGUUCUUUAUUCCUUUACCCCACAAUGCGCAUUAACCAGUCUCUUGGCUAGUAUAGCUUCUGUUAUUUUAAUUUUAGGUGUUCGUGUUCAUGAUCGACAAUCUACCUUCAAGUUUCUACUUUGUCUCUUCUUUGACGGGCCUCGUUGGAAUCACUGUUUAAUGGACUGUGUCUUAUGGUGCACAUUGUUAAUAUUUUAGAGCUAUUUGUUUCUUUUAUUUUCCUUGUGCAACGUCACUUAUCUUCAAUAUUUUUCCGAAAUAUGUAGCUUCGAGAAAAACCCUCGCCUGGAAGGUCCCGAGCUUCUGGGGCUCGCAAGUUACGACACAAACUGCUCGUGAAGUACAGGUUGAUGUUAUAAAGCUUGGAGUUGAAUAUGUACUCACAAGGUUUUAAGCAUAUUAUCACACGGUAUAAUGGGGUUUCUUAAACGCUAGGCCUCGUAUGUGUAAAUCUAUAUACCAGCUUGACUAUAUAUAGCUCAAUUAUCCAGCUCUUUCUAAGAUGUUGAAGGCAACUAGUAUUGAUGAAUGUAAUGGCAGCGACAAGUUAAUUUGUGGUGUGA